GAUGAACGCUGGCGGCGUGCCUAAUACAUGCAAGUCGAGCGAACAGACGAGGAGCUUGCUCCUCUGACGUUAGCGGCGGACGGGUGAGUAACACGUGGAUAACCUACCUAUAAGACUGGGAUAACUUCGGGAAACCGGAGCUAAUACCGGAUAAUAUAUUGAACCGCAUGGUUCAAUAGUGAAAGACGGUUUUGCUGUCACUUAUAGAUGGAUCCGCGCCGCAUUAGCUAGUUGGUAAGGUAACGGCUUACCAAGGCAACGAUGCGUAGCCGACCUGAGAGGGUGAUCGGCCACACUGGAACUGAGACACGGUCCAGACUCCUACGGGAGGCAGCAGUAGGGAAUCUUCCGCAAUGGGCGAAAGCUUUACGGAGCAACGCCGCGUGAGUGAUGAAGGUCUUCGGAUCGUAAAACUCUGUUAUUAGGGAAGAACAAAUGUGUAAGUAACUAUGCACGUCUUGACGGUACCUAAUCAGAAAGCCACGGCUAACUACGUG
rnacentral:rRNA from 1 species